rnacentral:rRNA from 1 species
GCAAACAGGACUUAAAUACCCUUAAGGUGCCAGAUCCCAUCCGAUCUUGGAAGCUAAGCAGGGCCAGUCCUUGUUAGUCUUUGGAUGGAAAUCACCAAAAAAAUACCGGGUGCUAUAGGCU